rnacentral:rRNA from 1 species
AUUGAACGCUGGCGGCAUGCCUAAUACGUGCAAGUCGAGCGAACAGAUGAAGUGCUUGCACUUCUGACGUUAGCGGCGAACGGGUGAGUAACACGUAAGGAAUCUACCUAUAAGCGGGGGAUAACAUUCGGAAACGGGUGCUAAUACCGCAUAAUAUCUUCUUCCGCAUGGAAGAAGAUUGAAAGACGGCUCUGCUGUCACUUAUAGAUGACCUUGCGGUGCAUUAGUUAGUUGGUGGGGUAAUGGCCUACCAAGACGAUGAUGCAUAGCCGACCUGAGAGGGUGAUCGGCCACAUUGGGACUGAGACACGGCCCAAACUCCUACGGGAGGCAGCAGUAGGGAAUCUUCCGCAAUGGGCGAAAGCCUGACGGAGCAAUGCCGCGUGAGUGAAGAAGGCCUUCGGGUCGUAAAGCUCUGUUAUAAGAGAAGAACAAAUUGUAGAGUAACUGCUACAGUCUUGACGGUAUCUUAUCAGAAAGCCACGGCUAACUACGUGCCAGCAGCCGCCGUAA